UUUUUUUGAGAAGCACUUUGAGAAAAAUACACUUAGAAGCAGUUUUUUACAGCUUGGCCAAACACUAAUUGCUGCUCGGAAGUACUUUUCAAUCUAAGUAACCAAACACAAACUGCUUUUCACCAAAAUUACUUUUGACAAAAAGCACUUCUCAAAAUAAGUUUGAUUUUUGCAGCUUGGCCAAACGGGCUAGCAGAGAUGUUGACAAAUAUAAUCAACCAAUCAAUCAACUACC
rnacentral:lncRNA from 1 species